AAAAAAGAUAAUGUCCAGGAAUCGGGAUGAGUUUAUCAAGAGAAAAAAAUAAAAAAUAAAAUAAGGAUGACGAAGUAAGUACAAGACCACCCGCCUCACUCCCUGCAUGGAUAGUGUGUUGCUAAGUCGCUGUGAGGACUCAAUCAGUGCUACCCGGCAAUUAAGAUCUCACAGAUCAAAGCCGUCUAAAUGAGCUAAUCCCUCAGAGAGCUGCUGCUCUCUUCUCCUCCGUCUAGCUCUCUGUUUCCCCCUCCAUCUCGCCCUCACCCUGGUUACUUCCUCAAGACUUGUGGCUCCGUGGGCUGACUGCGCUUUGAUGCUUGACAGCGCUGAAUGCAGCCCAGAGCCAGGAUCAGGUGUCAUGAAACCUAAAUUGUACUGCACUAGCACGCCAUAAAGGAUAGAGACAGUAGGCCCGCCAACAUUACAACUGUCUUGAGCACGGCGGCUUUACAGCGGCUCCUGAAUGCUGAGGGGGAUUAAAUGUUCAUUUUUUUUUGUCACAAUAUGACUGUUCCAAAAGAUGCUCGUCUCUGUCAAAAAAGCUCUUUAGACUCAUAGACAGUGUCAUUUAAUGAGAGGCACUUACAGUGGACUCUAACACAAUUCGGUGUUUGAUGACAACCUUGUUAGGAAAAUUGAAUCUCUCAAAUGAAAUUGGUCUCGGUGAUCAGUGUGUCACCCGGUGGGAUUCAUUUCGAAUCGUUGACCCUUCGUGAAUUAAAGCUCAUCUUCUGAACGGCGCCGCUUCUCAGAGGCUCGCGCAGCAGGAUGCAGGCUUCCAACCGCACCAGCUCUGCAAAAAACCUUCCCCUCUUUCCAUUUGAUUCAAGGAUUAGAUUUGAUUACAGACUUGAGCUGGACAACCUCUGCGACAGCCG
ensembl:lncRNA